rnacentral:rRNA from 1 species
AGCGAACGCUGGCGGCAGGCCUAACACAUGCAAGUCGAACGAACCUUUCGGGGUUAGUGGCGGACGGGUGAGUAACACGUGGGAACGUGCCUUUAGGUUCGGAAUAACUCAGGGAAACUUGUGCUAAUACCGAAUGUGCCCUUCGGGGGAAAGAUUUAUCGUCUUUAGAGCGGCCCGCGUCUGAUUAGCUAGUUGGUUGAGGUAAUGGCUCACCAAGGCGACGAUCAGUAGCUGGUCUGAGAGGAUGAUCAGCCACAUUGGGACUGAGACACGGCCCAAACUCCUACGGGAGGCAGCAGUGGGGAAUCGUGCGCAAUGGGCGAAAGCCUGACGCAGCCAUGCCGCGUGAAUGAUGAAGGUCUUAGGAUUGUAAAAUUCUUUCACCGGGGACGAUAAUGACGGUACCCGGAGAAGAAGCCCCGGCUAACUUCGUG